rnacentral:rRNA from 1 species
UACGAAGGGGGCAAGCGUUGUUCGGAAUUAUUGGGCGUAAAGGGCGCGUAGGCGGUGUCGCAAGUCCGUGGUGAAAUCUCCAGGCUCAACUUGGAGUCUGCCGCGGAAACUGCGGUGCUAGAGUGUGGGAGAGGUGCGUGGAAUUCCUGGUGUAGCGGUGAAAUGCGUAGAUAUCAGGAGGAACACCUGUGGCGAAAGCGGCUCACUGGACCAUAACUGACGCUGAUGCACGAAAGCUAGGGGAGCAAACAGG